UCAAACUGUGUUCAAAUAAGUGGAUAUUUGAACAAAGCUCAAGAGUAUUUAUAAGAAUAGUAAAAUACCUAGCACUCAACAAACUAAAACUUUACAUCUGGCAUCCAGUCGAAGAUUACCAGGCGUGCAAAGAAGGAGGGAAAUUCUCCUCAUUAUCCAUAAUGAGAAUAAUCAAACCUGACCCAGAACUUGCACAGUUGUCAGAAUUGUUAGACAAGGCUAUUAAAACAGCAACUGCAUUACAUGUUUAAAAAGUAGAUGCAGAGAACACACGAUAUAAAAAAAAAAACAGAUCAAAAUGUAAGUAAAAACUACAAUGAAAUAGCACCUCAUACAUGUUAGACUGGCUAUUAUCAAAAAGACAAGAAAUGACAAAUGCUGACAAGUGUGUGGACAAAGGGGAGCCCUCAUGCACUGUCAACAGGAAUGUAAACUGGUGCAGCCUCUAUGGAAAACAGUAUGGAGGUUCCUCAAAAAAUAAAAAAUAGAACUACCAUGUGAUUCAGCAAUUCCACUUCUGGAUAUUUAUCCAAAGAAAAUAGAAACACUCACUCAAAAAGGUAUAUACACCCCCAUGUUCACUGCAGCAUUAUUUACAAAAGCCAAGACAGGAAAGCAAUCAAUGAAUGAAUGGAUAAAGAAAAUGUGAUAUAUACAUCACACAUACUAACAUUAAUAUGUUAAUAUCACAUUAAUAACAUAUUAAUGUGAUAUUAUAUAUGUGUAUAUAUAUGUCACAUUAUUCAGCCAUUUAAAAAAAGGAAAUCUUGCCAUUUGCAAUAACAUGGAUGGACCUCCUUGAGGGCAUUAUGCUAAGUAAAAUAAAUCUGAGAAAAACAAAUACUGUAUGAUUUUUCUUACAUGUGGCAUCUAUCAAUAUAUAAAUAUACACAAUUCUUUCUGAAAAUCUAGCUCUGAAAAGGAAAAGAAAGAGCAGGUAGUUGUUAUGGGCAGGCAGGGGGCUAAGGGACAGGAUUUGGUUUUUAGGACAUAAGGUAAAUUUAAGGACAUAAAACUGAUGGGAAAACAGAUAAGCAGGGAGAGAUGACAGGUUAGAUAGAGCAGAGUACAGGGUUUGGGAAGCAAGGCAGGUCCUGACAGAAGUGGGUCAAGCACUGUUUUGACUAUGACCUAGGGAGGGGGUUGGGUGCCUGGACAGGGAGUUCUGCCAAGAUGGUGGGGAUGGCAGUCUUUCUGUAGCCUUGCGUUGAUAAAUAUGUACUGCAUGUAUAAUCAGAAGUCAAACUCAACAUGAUUACUGGAUUGUUCUUAAGAUGAGAGCAAGAGAUGAAGCCAGAGAGGCUAAAAGUCUGGAGAAGAACAAAAGGUGGCAGAUUGGGGAGCCAACCCCACUCUCAAAUGCACCAGCUCUGUAGAGAUCUGCUCUCUCUGAACCUAACCAACAUUCCAGGCCCCCUAAAGCAAAUGGAGAAUGCCAACAUCCUGAAAGAAUCUCCAGAGAAAAAAAUCAGGGCACAAAAUAGAAUCUGGUACUCCUGAUCGCCUUCAUGUACAACUAGAUAGAUUUCCCUCACAGAAAAUCAAAAGGAAGUCUGAGUGAUGCAGAGUUAGAAUUUUGAGUCAGAAUAAGAGAAAACAGAAACUGUCAUGUGACGUCUCUCCCCAAAGUCAUCAUGGGUUUUGGAUUUGUUUUGAGUACUUUUUCUUUUCCUUUUUUUCUCCUUUAUUACCUUAAGGACAUUGGAAAUACCCAGUGAACUCUCCACCAUUCAUGUAACCCUACGGACUCUGCAGCUGUUGGUGGUAUGGUUAUACAAGUUUUUGUGAUAGGGAAACAAGUUCUUUUGAAUAAAAAUAACAAAUGAUGCUCAAAAAGCGCUAAAGAUACUGCCUGGCAUAUAAUGAGUGUUUUCAUUACUUUUCAUCACUCAGCAAGCCGGCUGCCUCGCCUCUUUCCAGGACACUGUUGCAAAAGGAAGGACCUGCAUACUUCUGACGCAUGCGCACUAAGUCGCUUCACUUGUGUCCUACUCUUUGCGACCCCAUGGGCUGUAGCCCGCCAGGCUCCUCUGUCCAUGGGGUUCUCCAGGCAAGACUACUGGAGUAGAUUGCCAUGCCCUCCUCCAGGGGAUGUUCCCCACCCAGGGAUCAAACCUGCAUCUCUUCUGUCUCCUGCAUUGACAGGCAUGUUCUUUAACACUAGCGCUACCUGGAAAGCCCGCGUAUUUCUGGUAAAUUCUGAAUAACAAGCAAGGUCAAAAGGUCUGGACUGUAACAGAGCUGUGAGGAGUGGGGAGAAAGAGCAAUGAGACUAAGUCCCAGCCAUGCCUCCAGGUGGCUGCCUUCCCCCACGGAGGAGGGCCUAAGAGCAUGAUCUGGCAAGCUGCGGGUUACCCGGGGUAUCUGCUGUGUUGUUCCCACCUAUCCUUCACACAGGCACCUGAGCAAGAAUGACCUUCUUAAGAAAGUGGUCCAGCAGGGUGCAAAGUAAAUCGUGGGCUUUGCAGUGAGAGAUACAGGCUCUGCCAAUUACCAGAAGCACAAAUGUAGGCAGAUUACUUAGCCUCUCUGAGCUCAGCAUCUUCAUCAGCCAAACAGGGAUACUCAGAACAUAUCUCGGUGGGAAGACAAAAGGAGAACAUGAUAGAAAGUACUAUGCACAGUUCCUGGCUCCUACUAAGGGCACGGUUGUUGUUGAUCAGUCGCUAAGUCGUGUCCGACUCUGCGACACGGUACAGGUCGGCUACUCGUUAUGAUUAUCAUUAAUAAUAAAGUGCUCAGCACAUGCGGGUACGCCUCAGUAAGCGCUAAUACACGGUCGGGGCAUCCCGCCCCAGCGCCUCCCACCCCGGACCGCGAGCCGGGACCACCGGAGGAAAGAGGUCGGGACAACGUAGAGAGAGGCGCUCUAGAGGGCGCCAGGAACAGGCGAGGCGCGCAGAUCCGGGCCUUCGCGCAGAUAAUAGAGCGUCGCCCAGAUUACCACGAAGAAGGCUGAGCCCCCAAGAAUUGAUGCUUUCGAACUGUGUGCUGGAGAAGGCUCUUGAGAAUCCCUUGUACUGCAAGAUCAAACCAGUCAAUCCUAAAGGAAAGGACCAAUGCUGAAGUUGAAGCUCCAGUACUUUGGCCAUCUGAUGUGAAGAACCAACUCACUGGAAAAGACCCUGAUGCUAGGAAUGAUUGAGGGCAGAAGGAGAAGGGGCAACAGAUGAAGAGACAGUUGGAUGGCAUCAUCGAUUCAAUGGAUCUUUCACAGGUGGAACCCGAGCCACUGAGUAAGUGGACGGACUGCCCUGAGGCUGCUGUGCUCUGAGCAAGUUCCAGGCAGCUUGCAUACAGAAGCCGUGACACUUCAUGAAGAGAGAUGCCCACCACCACCAGCUGAUCCAGCCCCACUCUGUUCCAGCUUUGGCCACCAGUGGACUACUACUGCCUGAGAGACUAUAGCCAGAGAUGUACAGCUUGAGCUGUUUCCAAAUUCCUGACCCACUAAAACAGAGAUUU